UACGGAGGGUGCAAGCGUUGUUCGGAAUCACUGGGCGUAAAGGGCGUGUAGGCGGCCUGUUAAGUCUGGUGUGAAAUCCCUCCGCUCAACGGAGGAACUGCGCCGGAAACUGACAGACUCGAGUACCGGAGAGGAAGGUGGAAUUCCCGGUAUAGCGGUGAAAUGCGUAGAUAUCGGGAGGAACACCCGUGGCGAAGGCGGCCUUCUGGACGGAUACUGACGCUGAGACGCGAAAGCGUGGGGAGCAAACAGG
rnacentral:rRNA from 1 species